rnacentral:rRNA from 1 species
UACGGAGGGGGCUAGCGUUGUUCGGAAUUACUGGGCGUAAAGCGCACGUAGGCGGAUGUUUAAGUCGGGGGUGAAAUCCCGGGGCUCAACCCCGGAACUGCCUUCGAUACUGGAUGUCUGGAGUCCGAGAGAGGUGAGUGGAAUUCCGAGUGUAGAGGUGAAAUUCGUAGAUAUUCGGAGGAACACCAGUGGCGAAGGCGGCUCACUGGCUCGGUACUGACGCUGAGGUGCGAAAGCGUGGGGAGCAAACAGG